AAGGUGGGGAUGACGUCAAGUCAUCAGUGCCCCUUAUGUCCUGGGCUGCACACGUGCUACGAAUGGCCGGUACAAUGGGCUGCGAUGCCGACGAGGCGGAGCGAAUCCCAUAAAACCGGUCCCAGUUCGGAUCGGAGGCUGCAACCCGCCUCCGUGAAGUCGGAGUUGCUAGUAAUCGCGGAUCAGCAUGCCGCGGUGAAUUACCGGUUCCCGGGCCUU
rnacentral:rRNA from 1 species